AAAAGCAGACUCUGCCCUACAGCGGGAUAUUGGGAGUGAUGCUGGUUGGUACCAGGGAGAGAUCUCCAAAAGCCAAAACGCCUAAAGCAGCUUUGCUCCAACGACAGCUUCUAGUCCCCUGUCUCUCCCUUGCUUUUCUGGACAAGCUGGGUUUUAUCCAUUGACUGUUACCAUUCCCAGCACAAGGUGGCACUCAGUUUCCAAGAGAGGAAUUGCUUGGCCCUGCAGCCCCACUUCCACUUAAGAGACGAAUGUGUGUUAGUUACAAGCUACUCGGCCAUUUAUUGUUUUGUACUGUGAGGUAUCCCAGGAGCGCAUCAGAGUGUUACCUGGGGGAAGAAAACAACCAGCCAUGCUCGGCAAGGGCAACUGGGAAAUAACUUGAUGCUGAAUGUGCUCUUGCUGGUUUUAAUCCUUUUGCAUUCCACCUGGAGUUUCCCCCUUCAGCACUUUCCAGACUUAUCCAUGCCUGUCUCUCGAGUUUCUGCUGUUUCCAUUAGUCAGAACAACUCCUGCCAAGGGCAGGCAGGCAGUGUGUGCUGCUGUGCCUCACAUCCUGCUGGGAGCCGCUGGCCACUGUGUUAAAGGCCCUUAUGCAAGGGGCAGUACAAGUACAGGAUGAAUGGGGCAUGAGGGGGAAAGGGGAAAGAAGCAAGCAGUGUAACAUCCUCCUCUCAUCCCCUGGGUCUAUAGGAAUUCUUUCUUGGUUGAGAUCCAGCAUUAACACCUGCCUUGGGAAUGUUGUAUGCAUUCUUGAGGGGGAGGGGUGGUUGGCUGGUCUUACAGCUCCCAAAAUCAAGUGAGAACAAGUUGGCUGCUGCCUCUCCUGUUGCUAUGCAAUACUUUUAAUUUAAUAUUUGCUGUGAGGUCACAUCUCCAUGCUAUGUGCCAUCAGUAGUAGGAAUAUCCUGGCCAUCUAGGCAACAUCUUUUUCUAGAAUACUGAACUCUUAUGUUUGGUUUACUUGCUAUUCUCUCCCACACUGCAAGGUAUUUAUUAUCUAAACAGACAUGGUAAAUCAAUUUCUAUGAAGUCUUAAUGAAAAUUAGGGAUGAAUACAAAUAGCAAAAAAUGUAGCUGAACACUACCUGGCCUUCCUUCAAUCCAGGCUAUGUGGCCCUUUUUCUUUGUUGUGUAGCCUGUCUUGCUGCUCUCACAGAAACCAGGCAGUUUAGUCUCUGGACUCUUACUUUUGCCCAUGCCUUCUUUGGAUCAAGAAUUACCAAGAAGUGAUGGAGAUACUGGGGCACAAAAAAACAAACUGGCUUCCUUAAGGGAACCCAGCAAUGACAGAAGUGACAGACUCUGAAACAGCACUGAUCUCCUAAACACUAGUUAAGGUGCAGAGAAAAGACUUGAUGCAUCACCUUCUGGGCAGGUUUAAGAAUUCCCUGACACUAACGGGGAUGUCCAGUGUCUGGUGGGAUGACAGAGGUCAGAGAUGCAGGAAAUCUUGGUUGUCUGUUACAAGCUGUUUGUGUGCCCUUGAACUUUUUAAUUAGUGGGUGAGUAGUCAUGGUUAUCAGUGGGUUAAGGGCCCUGAGCUUUUCCACAGCUUACUGACAAAUGCGUCUGCCAGAAGUAGCAAGCUAAGGGAGGCAGAAGGGAACUACACACACACACACACACACACUGCAGUUUGCACCCAUGAUCUGGGAUAGAGGUGGGCUGGUGACAAGCACAGGAGUCUGGACAAGCACACUCUGGAGUCUGAGGCAAUGACUGCCAUACCAUGCCACAGCUCCAGCAGCAGAGGGGCAGUUUCUGUGGGAGAAGAGCAGUUUGUUUGAGUGGCUGGGAAUCAGACUGGUUGGCUGCAUUGCCCAGGCAAGGUUGUAAUAGAUAUUAUUUUUUAAAGUCCUGAACUCUUCCACCUUAUAUUUAUUACUUCUCCUGUUCCUGUGUAUCCUUCUGGCUUGCCUUUACUAGACUUGCCUUACACAUCACUGAAGCACUUGAAGUCUGGCUCCUGAUCUGUGUUCUGUCUGCAAAACAGAGAUGGUACUACCUGUGACCUAAUAAAGCCUUGCUGCUGUAAGCUGAACCACUCUGGGAAAAUUUCCAAGGAAUAAUGGGAGGAAUUCUCAAGGACAAGAUGAGGACAGCACAAGGCUGAAAUAUAUCCCAGUGAGGCUGCAAAGGAUGUGGAAGGAAAGCUACAGAUGGCAGGUGGCAGGUCAGCUCUUAGACAGGAGAGCAGUAGGGCACCAACACAAGCUGGGGCAGGAAGGGGAAGCAAAGAGUCUGUCCCUCUGUGGCUUGGGUGGCACUGUCACAAAAGGACAGUGGUGCAAACUGAGCAAGCAACGACGACCUGAUGGUUGAGGACCCCCCUCCAGUGCCUUUCACCCAUUCCUCCAGCCUGCAGAACCAAGCACAGCCCUGACCUGACGAGCUGCUUCUCAUCCAGAACUAAUAAAACCAAAGAUUAAGAGGGAAGAGAGAGCCAAUUCAGUGCAGGUAAAGAACUGGUUACUAUAGCAACUGUUUUCUUCUUUGAGCAUAGGUUGGGAGGACUCCCUUGCAAGGGGAUUUCUGUGCAGUCCCCAGGCUGGAGGGGGAAGUUGCUUCAGGAAUCUUGUUUGACAAAGGCUGCAUGGCUGCACUCUUGAACUCUG